CCGGCCAAAGGAAGAAAAGAAAGAACAAGAACCCUAGAGUGAAAAUUCAAGAGAAAUUUGGUGGAUUUCAAGUAAUCAAGCAAUCAAAGGUAAAAUUUCUUGAUUUUGACUUGUGAUUUACCUUUCCCAUACAUUCUUUUGCAUUUUCAUGGUUGAAUCACAUGAUUUCAUGAUGGGUAUCUUGCUGGCUGAACACUUAGAGAGAGGUUUUGAUGCUUGAUUUGGUUAGAUUUCAAUGUAUUUUAGUGUUUUUAGUUAGUUAGUGAUGUGUAGCAUGAAAAGCCAACAAGAAAAUUCAUUUUCUCCCAUCACCCAUCAUUGGCCGAAUUCUCCAUGUGAAAUAUUGAUGAUGAUUUUGAUUUUAUUUCUAGUGAUUUGGUUAGGAAUUAGUGAUUUAUGGUGAAAGAAUCAAGCUUGAAAAAUUAUAGUGUUGAUGCACCCACCAUGGCCGAAUUUUCCAAGAGAAAAUGUGAGGAUGAUUUUGCCAUAUUUCAAUUUAUUUAGUUUGUGUUUAAUGAUUUGGAGUAUUGGGAGAAAAAUGGAAUUAUUUGGAGUUGAAUUGGACAUAAUGGCAAAUUAAUCGGGUGAUAGAUCGAAUUAGGUCAAUACCGUUUUAUUUAGGUACACAAUUGAAUUUGUGUAGAACACCGUGUUUAGACAAUAAUCCGAACAAUUUACAUUCCAUUUCAUGCAUUAGUAUAGAGCCUGAAUUGGUUUUAUAAUAAUUUAGCAUAAAUGUAGUAAAUGGCUUAUUGUGCAUUAUGUCUAGGUGGUGAGCAUUCUGGCAAAAGUAAAGAGAUAGUACCCGAGGAUCAAGAAUCGGAGUACUCGGAAUUCGACUCUCGAAAUAGUGAGUAACCUUACUAUCGUCUUAAUUAUCUAAAGUGGUUUUUAUCUGAUUUUGUGAUUUUAUGGAAAAUAAGUUUAAAUGGUAAAUCUUUAUGUUUUAAAAGCAAAAUGUGAUUAAAGGAAAUGAUUUUAAAAAUUGUCUUGAAAUUGAAAGAUGGUUUUGGUAAUGGAGUAAUUGGAGACUAAUUGUUGUGUUAUAAAUCAUGGUUUGAAUUGAAUGGCUUAUGAUAAUAUUGGCAUGAAUAGUUAAAUUGGUAUUUGUGCUGAAAAUGUAUAAACUGUUGUUCGACUUGAUAGGAUGGAUAAUGAUAAAAUUGCCAUGUCAUGCUGUUGAAUUUUAUUGAAUUAGUGGGUUAUUGAUUAGUAGUUGCAGUGGAUGGGUUCCGUGGACCAAUUUAUUAGAGGGAGCACGGUAACCUUAUUAUAUUCAUACCUCAGUAUGAGAAACGCGGAUGGAUAACUCCUGAGGUUAACACUUUAGAGUUCACUUCACGCCAAACCACCACGUGACGGUGAACUCAGCCAACGCCAAGGAUCGGCUAUAUUUUUCAAAUAAAAAUAUGAUUUAUGCGUACAUAACUUUUUAAUAGCCUUGGCGGACUCGGUUGGGAUAUCUCUUGGCCAAGGUAUCCCUGAUAACUGAGUAUGAGAAUGAUUUUGGCACGAGCCAAAGUUUUAAGAAAUUCAUAAGCCAUGUUGAUUACUCAAUUUAUAUCAAUUGAUUUUAUUUGGUUGAAAUGAGUUGAAAGGUGAUGAAUUACAAUAUGCUAAUCUAUUUUAUCUGUCUCCAUUUACUCAGCUUUAUAUAUUUUAGAUGGUAUUUGUUUGCUCACUGGGAUUAUAUAAUCUCACGACUCUCCUUUCCACCCAUUUCAGGCUCAGGAUAGUCGGUAGAUAGCUCACUUUGUUGAGGGCUACAAUUGGACUUGCAUCCUCAAAAAUUGUAGGUUUACCGCUUUUGAUACUUUUGGUCGUUCGUGGGCCCACGUGUCACUGUAAAUUAAAUUUUAUACUUUGGUUAUCUGUAUUACAGUAUGUAUGAAUUUAUUUAGCUUUUACGCUACAAAAAUUAUUUACCGGUAACUCUAUAAAUAUUGUUUUAUAAGAAAAUAAAAUAUUUUAUUGAAUAUUUUUAUUAUAUUCAAAUAGUCA
rnacentral:lncRNA from 1 species